rnacentral:rRNA from 1 species
AUUGAACGCUGGCGGCAUGCCUUACACAUGCAAGUCGAACGGCAGCACGGGUGCUUGCACCUGGUGGCGAGUGGCGAACGGGUGAGUAAUACAUCGGAACGUACCUUAUCGUGGGGGAUAACGCAGCGAAAGCUGUGCUAAUACCGCAUACGCCCUGAGGGGGAAAGCGGGGGAUCGCAAGACCUCGCGCGAUUAGAGCGGCCGAUGCCUGAUUCGCUUGUUGGUGGGGUAAAAGCCCACCAAGGCGACGAUCAGUAGCUGGUCUGAGAGGACGAUCAGCCACACUGGGACUGAGACACGGCCCAGACUCCUACGGGAGGCAGCAGUGGGGAAUUUUGGACAAUGGGGGCAACCCUGAUCCAGCAAUGCCGCGUGAGUGAAGAAGGCCUUCGGGUUGUAAAGCUCUUUUGUCAGGGAAGAAACACCGGCUCUAACACAGUCCGGGAAUGACGGUACCUGAAGAAUAAGCACCGGCUAACUACGUGCCAGCCGCCGCGAUAA